GACGAACGCUGGCGGCGGGCUUAACACAUGCAAGUCGAACGGAAAGGCCCUGCGUUUGUGGGGUGCUCGGGUGGCGAACGGGUGAGUAACACGUGAGUAACCUGCCCUUGACUUUGGGAUAACUUCAGGAAACUGGGGCUAAUACCGGAUAGGAGCUCCUGCUGCAUGGUGGGGGUUGGAAAGUUUCGGCGGUUGGGGAUGGACUCGCGGCUUAUCAGCUUGUUGGUGGGGUAGUGGCUUACCAAGGCUUGGACGGGUAGCCGGCCUGAGAGGGUGACCGGCCACCUUGGGACUGAGAUACGGCGCAGAGUCCUACGGGAGGCAGCAGUGGGGAAUAUUGCACAAUGGGCGGAAGCCUGAUGCAGCAACGCCGCGUGCGGGAUGACGGCCUUCGGGUUGUAAACCGCUUUCGCCUGUGACGAAGCGUGAGUGACGGUAAUGGGUAAAGAAGCACCGGCUAACUACGUG
rnacentral:rRNA from 1 species